AGUGAACGCUGGCGGUAGGCCUAACACAUGCAAGUCGAACGGCAGCACAGUAAGAGCUUGCUCUUACGGGUGGCGAGUGGCGGACGGGUGAGGAAUACAUCGGAAUCUACUUUUUCGUGGGGGAUAACGUAGGGAAACUUACGCUAAUACCGCAUACGACCUACGGGUGAAAGCAGGGGAUCUUCGGACCUUGCGCAAUUGAAUGAGCCGAUGUCGGAUUAGCUAGUUGGCGGGGUAAAGGCCCACCAAGGCGACGAUCCGUAGCUGGUCUGAGAGGAUGAUCAGCCACACUGGAACUGAGACACGGUCCAGACUCCUACGGGAGGCAGCAGUGGGGAAUAUUGGACAAUGGGCGCAAACCUGAUCCAGCAAUACCGCGUGGGUGAAGAAGGCCUUCGGGUUGUAAAGCCCUUUUGUUGGGAAAGAAAAGCAGCAGGUUAAUACCCCGCUGUUCUGACGGUACCCAAAGAAUAAGCACCGGCUAACUUCGUG
rnacentral:rRNA from 1 species